AAGUGAUAAGGCAGCAAGAGGCUUGAGUCCAUGGACGGCACCAUGGGGCUGCAGGGGCUGCUCUGCCUGUGCCUGGCGUCCCACCUCGCCCUGCAGGCCAUGCCCACUCAAGGUUCACCCACAGACAGUACCAAAGGCAACAAGGCCGUCAAUGGUGUGGUCAUUCGGAGUUUGAAAGUCAACUGCAAGGUCACCUCUCGCUUCGCCCACUACGUCGUCACCAGCCAAGUGGUCAACAACGCCAACAAAGCCAAGGAAGUGGCCUUCGAUGUGGAAAUCCCCAAGACAGCCUUCAUCAGCGACUUUGCCAUCACAGCAGAUGAAAACACAUUUGUGGGGGACAUAAAGGACAAAGUGACUGCAUGGAAGCAGUACCGGAAAGCAGCCAUUUCAGGAGAGAAUUCUGGCCUCGUCAGGGCCUCAGGGAGAACAAUGGAGCAAUUUACCAUCCACGUCACCAUUGGUCCUCGGAGCAAGGCCACAUUCCAGCUAACCUACGAGGAGGUGCUGAGGCGCAAGCUUACGCAGUAUGACAUUGUCAUCAAGGUCAAACCCAAGCAGCUGGUGCAGCAUUUUGAGAUCGACGUGGACAUCUUUGAGCCCCAGGGGAUCAGCAAGCUGGAUGCCCAGGCCUCCUUCCUUUCCAAGGAAGCAGCAGCCCAACUCAUCAAGAAGUCCUUCUCAGGGAAAAAGGGUCAUGUGCUUUUCCGCCCCACGGUGGGCCAGCAACAAUCCUGCUCCACAUGCUCUACGACUCUGCUGAACGGGGACUUCAAGGUGACCUACGAUGUCAAUCGGGAGAAGCUCUGUGACCUCCUGGUCGCCAACAACUACUUUGCCCACUUCUUUGCCCCCCAAAACCUGACAAAACUGAAUAAGAACGUGGUUUUUGUGAUUGACAUUAGUUCCUCCAUGGAAGGCCAGAAAGUGAAGCAGACCAAAGAGGCGCUUUUAAAAAUCCUGAGUGAUUUGAAGCCAGGGGACUACUUCGACCUGGUCCUGUUUGGGUCUGCAGUGCAGUCCUGGAGGGGCUCAUUGGUGCAGGCAUCCACCGCCAACCUGGACGCAGCUCGGAGUUAUGUGCGGCAAUUCUCCCUGGCUGGCUCGACAAACCUGAAUGGAGGUUUGCUCCGAGGAAUUGAGAUCUUGAACAAAGCUCAGGGCAGCCUCCCAGAAUUCAGCAACCGUGCCUCAAUUCUCAUCAUGUUGACAGAUGGCGAGCCCACGGAGGGGGUGACGGAUCGUUCCCAAAUUCUCAAGAACGUCCGAGAUGCCAUCAGGGGCAGGUUCCCACUCUACAACUUGGGCUUCGGCCAUGAUGUGGAUUGGAACUUCCUGGAGGUUAUGGCCCUGGAGAACAACGGACGUGCCCAGAGAAUCUACGAGGACCAUGAUGCUGCUCAGCAGCUGCAGGGCUUCUACGACCAGGUCGCCAACCCCCUCCUGAAGGAUGUGGAGUUGCAGUACCCCGCGGAUGCCGUCCUGGCUCUUACCCAGCAUCGCCACAAACAGUACUACGAAGGCUCGGAGAUCACAGUAGCGGGGCGGAUCGCUGACAACAAACUGAGCAGCUUCAAAGCGGACGUGCAGGCCUCUGGGGACCAAGGAUUCAAGACAACCUGUCUGGUGGAUGAGGAAGAGAUGAAGAAACUGCUCCAAGAGAGGGGCCACAUGCUGGAGAACUAUGUCGAACGCCUGUGGGCCUACCUCACCAUCCAGGAGCUGCUGGCCAAGAGGAUGAAGCUGGAGGGGGCGGAGAAGGCCAGUGUUUCGGCCAAGGCCCUGCAGAUGUCACUGGACUAUCAGUUCGUGACCCCGCUGACCUCCAUGACCAUCAGGGGCAUGGCGGACAAGGACGGGCUGGAGCCGGUCAUCGACAAGCCUCUGGAGGAUUCUCAGCCCUUGGAGAUGCUGGGACCCAGAAGGAAGUUCGUGCUAUCCGCCUCACAGCCUUCUCCGACACACCCCAGCUCCAGCAUCCAGAAGCUGCCAGACCGAGUGACUGGCGUGGACACUGACCCCCACUUCAUCAUCCGCGUGCCCCAGAAAGAGGACACCCUGUGCUUCAAUAUCAACGAGGAGCCUGGUGUGGUUCUGAGCCUGGUGCAGGAUCCUGACACAGGCUUCUCAGUGAAUGGGCAGCUCAUCGGCAACGAGGCCAGGAGCCCGGGGAAGCAUGAGGGCACCUACUUCGGGCGGCUGGGGAUCGCGAACCCCGCAACAGGCUUUCAGCUGGAAGUGACUCCACAGAACAUUACGCUGAACCCUGGCUCUGGUGGGCCUGUGUUCUCCUGGAGGGACCAGGCUUCACUGCGGCAGGACGAGGUGGUGGUGACCAUCAACAGGAAGAGGAACCUGGUGGUGUCCGUGGAGGACGGGGGCACCUUCGAGGUGGUCCUGCACCGGGUGUGGAAGGGGAGUGCCAUCCACCAGGACUUCCUGGGCUUUUACGUGCUGGAUAGUCACCGGAUGUCAGCACGGACACAUGGACUGCUGGCCAGAGGCCUUCGGAAUUGGUGCAAAAAGACAGGAAUUAUAACCACCUAGCAAUAUAUCUGCUUCUCAUAGCAGGACAAUUCUUCCACCCCUUUGAUUAUAAAGUGUCUGACCUCCACCCAGGCUCUGACCCCACAAAGACAGACGCCACAAUGGUGGUGAAGAACCGCCAGCUGACAGUCACCAGGGGCUUGCAAAAAGACUACAGCAAGGAUCCCCGGCACGGGGCCAAGGUGACCUGCUGGUUCAUCCACAAUAAUGGAGAUGGGCUGAUUGAUGGCGUUCACACUGACUAUAUCGUCCCCGACAUCUUCUGAGCCUCCAGCCAGCGCUCCUGUCCUUCCAUGGGGCCAUGACAGAGAAGGAGGACAGCAUCCUGACCUGCUGCUCAAGCGACACCUCCCUGUCCAAGCUGGUCCCCUACGUCAAAGCACUCGUGACUUCAUUAAAGAGAGGCUAUGUUCA